GGGUUUGAAAGAAUUCUCUACUGAAGAAGGAUUGAAAAUUUUCCAGUGGCUGAUACUGAGAAGGAACGCAACUUUACUCUCUCCCUAUUUCCGCGUUCUUGGGUGUAAAAGUCUCAGACAGCCUGUUUUUGGUUGAAACUCGGCAAGGUCUCCGUGGACAGCAAAGUUGGAGGGCUGCUCCUGCACCACCGAGCCGCUAGAUUUCUGAACACAGUCUUGCCCAAGGAUAACACAAAUCUGUGUCACUGGCUGGGUGUAAUGCAAGGAAGGGACAAAGAUGAAAUGGAAACAUCUUCCUUUUUUGGUCAUAAUAUCACUCCUCAGAGUGUCAAACCACAACCUGCUUCUGGCCCAGCUUAUUCCAGCAUUUCAUUAAAUUGAAGAAGGAGGAGGAGGAGGACGACAAGGGGGAAGAAGGAAAAACAAGAG
rnacentral:lncRNA from 1 species